rnacentral:rRNA from 1 species
GAUGAACGCUAGCGGCAGGCCUAACACAUGCAAGUCGAGGGAGAAGCCCUUUCGGGGGCAGAAACCGGCGCACGGGUGCGUAACGCGUAUGCAACCUACCUUUCACAGGGGGAUAGCCCGAAGAAAUUUGGAUUAAUACCCCAUAAUAUUGUUGGAUGGCAUCAUCUGGCAAUUAAAGCUACGACGGUGGAAGAUGGGCAUGCGUCCUAUUAGCUAGUUGGAGUGGUAACGGCACCCCAAGGCUACGAUAGGUAGGGGUCCUGAGAGGGAGAUCCCCCACACUGGUACUGAGACAGGGACCAGACUCCUACGGGAGGCAGCAGUGAGGAAUAUUGGUCAAUGGUCGGAAGACUGAACCAGCCAUGCCGCGUGCAGGAAGAAUGCCUUAUGGGUUGUAAACUGCUUUUAUAUGGGAAGAAUAAGGCGUACGAGUACGUUGAUGAC